UACGAAGGGGGCUAGCGUUGCUCGGAAUCACUGGGCGUAAAGCGCACGUAGGCGGCUUUUUAAGUCAGGGGUGAAAUCCUGGAGCUCAACUCCAGAACUGCCUUUGAUACUGAGAGCUUGAGUCCGGGAGAGGUGAGUGGAACUGGCGAGUGUAGAGGUGAAAUUCGUAGAUAUUCGCAAGAACACCAGUGGCGAAGGCGGCUCACUGGCCCGGUACUGACGCUGAGGUGCGAAAGCGUGGGGAGCAAACAGGG
rnacentral:rRNA from 1 species